ensembl:lncRNA
AUGCCUCUGAUCAGGAGGUGGUGGUGUGCUGUUCUCCUGGAUAACUUCACUCCACAAAUCGCUCAACCACUGAGGGGAGGAGCUUCAGCAUUUAAAAGACAAUGUCUUCAGGCAGAGUCCAGCGAACCAGAGUAUGCAGUUGUGACAACAAUCUAUCAGGUUUGUCUAAACCAUGGUUGUCUGU